rnacentral:rRNA from 1 species
AGAGUUUGAUCCUGGCUCAGGAUGAACGCUAGCUACAGGCUUAACACAUGCAAGUCGAGGGGAAACGACAUCGAAAGCUUGCUUUUGAUGGGCGUCGACCGGCGCACGGGUGAGUAACGCGUAUCCAACCUGCCCACCACUUGGGGAUAACCUUGCGAAAGUAAGACUAAUACCCAAUGACGUCUCUAGAAGACAUCUGAAAGAGAUUAAAGAUUUAUCGGUGAUGGAUGGGGAUGCGUCUGAUUAGCUUGUUGGCGGGGUAACGGCCACCGAAGGCGACGAUCAGUAGGGGUUCUGAGAGGAAGGUCCCCCANAUUGGAACUGAGACACGGUCCAAACUCCUACGGAGGCA